UUGUUUCUGCAGCAGAUAUACUAAAUUGAAAUGAUACCAAGAAGGUUAGCAUGGCCCCUGCACAAGGAUGGCACACAUAUUCUGAAGCAUUCCAUAAUUUU
rnacentral:snRNA from 1 species